AACCAAAGUGUAGAGUUUCAUUCAGGGCAGCUUUCCUGUUCCAAUAACUGUUGGGACAUUAAGACAAGGUCUAGGAGAGAAGACUGGGUAAAGGCAGGUCUCUAUUCAUUUCCCUCCUAGUCUACCAAA